rnacentral:rRNA from 1 species
CCGGGAUGUUCAUAACCCUUUGUUGUCCGACUCUGUUGCCUCCGGGGCGACCCUGCCUUCGGGCGGGGGCUCCGGGUGGACACUUCAAACUCUUGCGUAACUUUGCAGUCUGAGUAAACUUAAUUAAUAAAUUAAAACUUUUAACAACGGAUCUCUUGGUUCUGGCAUCGAUGAAGAACGCAGCAAAAUGCGAUAAGUAAUGUGAAUUGCAGAAUUCAGUGAAUCAUCGAAUCUUUGAACGCACAUUGCGCCCCCUGGUAUUCCGGGGGGCAUGCCUGUUCGAGCGUCAUUUCACCACUCAAGCCUCGCUUGGUAUUGGGCAACGCGGUCCGCCGCGUGCCUCAAAUCGACCGGCUGGGUCUUCUGUCCCCUAAGCGUUGUGGAAACUAUUCGCUAAAGGGUGUUCGGGAGGCUACGCCGUAAAACAACCCCAUUUCUAAGGUUGACCUCGGAUCAGGUAGGGAUACCCGCUGAACUUAAGCAUAUCAAUAAACGGAGG